rnacentral:rRNA from 1 species
UCUUGCAAAGACGAUGGCGACCGGCGCACGGGUGAGUAACACGUAUCCAACCUGCCGAUAACUCGGGGAUAGCCUUUCGAAAGAAAGAUUAAUAUCCGAUAGUAUAUUAAAACCGCAUGGUUUUACUAUUAAAGAAUUUCGGUUAUCGAUGGGGAUGCGUUCCAUUAGUUUGUUGGCGGGGUAACGGCCCACCAAGACUACGAUGGAUAGGGGUUCUGAGAGGAAGGUCCCCCACAUUGGAACUGAGACACGGUCCAA